rnacentral:lncRNA from 1 species
AGGAGCGAUUCGCUUCUAUCCUUGUAACACAAAGCGUGCAACUCCAUGUGCAGCAGCCAAAGAUGAGAAAACAAGAUUCUUUGCAGAACACGAAGAACUGGAACACGGACCAUGAGGUUCCGCUUUGGAAAUUCCACUUCUCUUGGAGGCCUCUUCCCAAGGCUGAAGUGAUGUUGAUUCUACUAGUGUGACUUCUGGUGCCUCAUUCUCAAAAUGCCCCCUCUGGAAAUUCCUGCUGUAUUCUCGUUACCUGCUAAUAAACAUUUAUGCCUUUCUUUC